rnacentral:misc_RNA from 1 species
GAAAUGCGAUAAGUAGUGUGAAUUGCAGAAUUCAGUGAAUCAUCGAAUCUUUGAACGCACAUUGCGCCCCUUGGUAUUCCAUGGGGCAUGCCUGUUCGAGCAUCAUUUGUACCCUCAAGCUCUGCUUGGUGUUGGGUGUUUGUCCCGUCUCCGCGCGUGGACUCGCCCCAAAGUGAUUGGCAGCCGGCGUACUGGUCCCGGAGCGCAGCACAUGUCGCGCAAACGAGUGCCUUGGUACGGCGGCGUCCAUAAGCCCCUCUCUCACGCUCUUGACCUCGGAUCGGGUAGGGAUACCCGCUGAACUUAAGC